rnacentral:misc_RNA from 1 species
CUAUAAAUGGAGUGGGAGUUGGUAUCAGGCACAGGACCCCCCCCAGCCCACAAAUCCUUAAACCGCCACACCCUCAAGGGACUACCACUCAGCAGUGCAUUAAAAUUGACAGUUAAGCGCCAGCUUGACACAGUUAAGGUAUUAAGAAAGCCGGCCAACCCGGUGCCAGCCGCCCCGGCUACACCGUGGGCUUAAGUUGAUGACCCCUCGGCGUUAAGCGUGUUUAAAGAAACAAUUAACUUAGAGCUAAACCUAAGCCAAACUGUCGCACGCAUGCCCUCGGGAAAUCCACAACGAAAGUUGCUCUAAUAUUAACUUGAACCCACGACAAUUAAGAGACAAACUGGGAUUAGAGACCCCACUAUGCUUUAUCGUAAACUAUGCACUCACACCACCUCACCGCCAGAAUACUACGAACUAACCACUUAAAACUCAAGGGAUUUGACGGCGUCUCACCUGCCUAGAGGAGCCUGUUCCAUAAUCGAUACUCCGCGAUACACCUAACCACUUUUUGCUUAAUCAGUCUGUAUACCUCCGUCGCAAGUUCACCAUAUGAAUGCUAAUCAGUGGGCAAAAAGGUUACCACACCAAUACGUCAGGUCAAGGUGCAACCCACAAAGUGGAAAGAAUGGGCUACAAUUUCUAAACUAGAACACACGAAUAUCUUAUGAAAAAAUGAUUGAAGGCGGAUUUAGUAGUAAGGAGAAAUAAAACAUUCCCCUUAAACCAACAAUGAGACGUGUACACACCGCCCGUCACCCUCUUCUACUGUAGCGGUCACAGCUGCUUCGACACCUAAGCUCCGACAUCUGAGCUUCUACAACAGAGGAGGCAAGUCGUAACAUGGUAAGUAUACUGGAAGGUGUACUUGGUAACAAAGUAUAGUUUAACCAAAACAAUUCGUUUACACCGAAUUAAUAUCUAAUAAACCAGAUUAUUUUGUAUAAGCCCUAAACUCAGGCCCCCCCCCCCCUUUUUUUUCAACCCAACCCUCAAAAAACAUUUUCACAAUUCAGUAAAGGCGAUUAAAAACUUAAUAAGAGCUAUACAUAAAGUACCGCAAGGGAAAGGUGAAACAAAAAUGAAAUAAACAACAAGCUAAUAAAAGCAGAGAUCCACACUCGUACCUUUUGCAUCAUGGUCUAGCCAGUCUCAACAAGCAAACUACAAUAUACAACUUGUACCCCCGAAACCUGAACGAGCUACUUUAAGACAGCCCCAAGAGCUAACCCGUCUCUGUUGCAAAAGAGUGGGGAGAUUUUUAAGUAGCGGUGAUACACCUACCGAGCCAGGAGAUAGCUGGUUGCUCAAGAAAGGAACUUUAGUUCCCCCUCAAAUUUCUAGUACAUAAUCUAUACAUCAUUUGAGACCCGCUCAGAUAAGGUACAGCCUAUUUGACACCGGAUACAACCAAAAACUUAGGGUAAUGUCAACUUAAUUUAUCUUAGUGGGCCUAAAAGCAGCCACCUUCCAAAAUAGCGUUACAGCUUACUUAUCCUUACUCACGAUACCCCCCCCCAUACAAACCCCUACUCCAGUAUUGAGCACUCUUAUAACAUAUAAGUGAUAUUAUGCUAGAACUAGUAACAAGAACAUGUUCUCCAGGGCGUAAGUAUACAUUAGUAUGAAUUAUUACCACUGUAGUAACCCAUCAAGAAAUCCCUACUAUCCUACCAGACCUAGUAUUAAACUUACACAAGAGCACCCCAGGAAAGAUUAAAAUAAAAAGAAGGAACUCGGCAAACCUUAGUCUCGCCUGUUUACCAAAAACAUCGCCUCUUGACUAAUUAUGAGAGACCCAGCCUGCCCACUGAUAUUUUAUUUAACGGCCGCGGUACCCUGACCGUGCAAAGGUAGCACAAUCACUUGUUCUCUAAAUAGGGACUAGUAUGAAUGGCACCACGAAGACUAUACUGUCUCCUUUCUACAAUCACUGAAACUGAUCCCCCCGUGAAAAAGCGGGGAUUAUACUAUAAGACGAGAAGACCCCAUGAAGCUUCAAACUAAAUACCAACUGCCGGCCAUUAAACCACCCGAAACCUGGCUGACCUGACUAUCAAAUUUUGGUUGGGGCAACCGCGGAGCAAAACAAAACCUCCACAUUUAUUAUAAGAACAGUGGACCACCACUCAAUUUAAGAACAACGCUUCUAAAAGCCAAAACAUUGACCCCCCUUGAUCCAAACCUUUGAUCAAAGAACCAAGUUACUCUGGGGAUAACAGCGCAAUCUAUUUCAAGAGUCCGUAUUGACAAAUGGGUUUACGACCUCGAUGUUGGAUCAGGGUGCCCCAGUGGUGCAGAUGCCGCUAACGGUUCGUUUGUCAACGAUCAAAC